rnacentral:rRNA from 1 species
UAGGGAAUCUUCGGCAAUGGACGAAAGUCUGACCGAGCAACGCCGCGUGAGUGAAGAAGGUUUUCGGAUCGUAAAACUCUGUUGUUAGAGAAGAACAAGGACGUUAGUAACUGAACGUCCCCUGACGGUAUCUAACCAGAAAGCCACGGCUAACUACGUGCCAGCAGCCGCGGUAAUACGUAGGUGGCAAGCGUUGUCCGGAUUUAUUGGGCGUAAAGCGAGCGCAGGCGGUUUCUUAAAUCUGAUGUGAAAGCCCCCGGCUCAACCGGGGAGGGUCAUUGGAAACUGGGAGACUUGAGUGCAGAAGAGGAGAGUGGAAUUCCAUGUGUAGCGGUGAAAUGCGUAGAUAUAUGGAGGAACACCAGUGGCGAAGGCGGCUCUCUGGUCUGUAACUGACGCUGAGGCUCGAAAGCGUGGGGAGCAAACAGG